rnacentral:misc_RNA from 1 species
GUUUUAUUAAUUAUUUAUUUGUGUCAUAUUUUUUCUUAGUGGAACUCAUCAUCCAUAUUAUCAAUAAUUUGGUAUUUUUAUUAGCACAAGAAAACACUACAUCACUUUGAAAAUCCUUUAUUUUUUGGCCUGACGUAAUGGAAAUAAUCAUAAUUUUGCGAUAGCCAUUCAAAUGUUGUGUAAGAUAAAACCAGUGAUCUAAUUUGAAAAGAA